rnacentral:rRNA from 1 species
AGAGUUUGAUCCUGGCUCAGGAUGAACGCUGGCGGCGUGCUUAACACAUGCAAGUCGAACGGGAAUUACUUUAUUGAAACUUCGGUCGAUUUAAUUUAAUUCUAGUGGCGGACGGGUGAGUAACGCGUGGGUAACCUGCCUUAUACAGGGGGAUAACAGUCAGAAAUGGCUGCUAAUACCGCAUAAGCGCACAGAGCUGCAUGGCUCGGUGUGAAAAACUCCGGUGGUAUAAGAUGGACCCGCGUUGGAUUAGCUUGUUGGUGGGGUAACGGCCCACCAAGGCGACGAUCCAUAGCCGGCCUGAGAGGGCGGACGGCCACAUUGGGACUGAGACACGGCCCAAACUCCUACGGGAGGCAGCAGUAGGGAAUUUUCGUCAAUGGGGGGAACCCUGAACGAGCAAUGCCGCGUGAGUGAAGAAGGUCUUCGGAUCGUAAAGCUCUGUUGUAAGAGAAAAACGACAUUCAUAGGGAAUGAUGAGUGAGUGAUGGUAUCUUACCAGAAAGUCACGGCUAACUACGUGCCAGCAGCCGCGGUAAUACGUAGGUGGCGAGCGUUAUCCGGAAUGAUUGGGCGUAAAGGGUGCGUAGGUGGCAGAACAAGUCUGGAGUAAAAGGUAUGGGCUCAACCCGUACUGGCUCUGGAAACUUGUUCAGCUAGAGAACAGAAGAGGACGGCGGAACUCCAUGUGUAGCGGUAAAAUGCGUAGAUAUAUGGAAGAACACCGGUGGCGAAGGCGGCCGUCUGGUCUGUUGCUGACACUGAAGCACGAAAGCGUGGGGAGCAAAUAGGAUUAGAUACCCUAGUAGUCCACGCCGUAAACGAUGAGAACUAGGUGUUGGGGGAAUAGCUCAGUGCCGCAGUUAACGCAAUAAGUUCUCCGCCUGGGGAGUAUGCACGCAAGUGUGAAACUCAAAGGAAUUGACGGGGGCCCGCACAAGCGGUGGAGUAUGUGGUUUAAUUCGAAGCAACGCGAAGAACCUUACCAGGCCUUGACAUCCCUUGCAGAGGUAUAGAGAUAUAUCCGAGGUUACCAAGGAGACAGGUGGUGCAUGAUUGUCGUCAGCUCGUGUCGUGAGAUGUUGGGUUAAGUCCCGCAACGAGCGCAACCCCUAUCUUUAGUAGCCAGCGGCCAGGCCGGGCACUCUAGAGAGACUGCCGGGGAUAACCCGGAGGAAGGUGGGGAUGACGUCAAAUCAUCAUGCCCCUUAUGAGCAGGGCUACACACGUGCUACAAUGGCGUAAACAAAGGGAAGCGAGACCGCGAGGUGGAGCAAAUCCCAAAAAUAACGUCUCAGUUCGGAUUGUAGUCUGCAACUCGACUACAUGAAGCUGGAAUCGCUAGUAAUCGCGAAUCAGAAUGUCGCGGUGAAUACGUUCCCGGGUCUUGCACACACCGCCCGUCAA